rnacentral:piRNA from 1 species
AAAGACAACAUGGGAACUUGCUGC